GCGGAGCCAGGGAGGGCGGCAGGAAGGUCAGGAGCAGGAAGUGAUUGCCUGGGUGAGGACCAACUCCGAGACACAGAGCUGAAAGUGCCCUCCAGUGCCUGGGAGGAAAUGAGGAAAUGUCCAGUCUCACACUCACUGCCAGUGUGAGAGUGAGAUCAGGAGAAAGAUUGGACUGAAGAUGUCUCUUACCGGUGAAGGUUAGGACGGCAGACACAACGCAGAGAAAGAAAUGAACUGAAACAUCUAUGCUUUGUUCUUUCCCCUGCUAAAUUCUCCAAACAGAUGUCAGGUUCUCCCCCUUUUGCUACAAGUUUCCUUGGAUAACCUUAAUUACCUGGAGGUGGUGGAACAUGGAAGAGCUGAAUCUUUCAUUGAUUCUCCAAGGCACGCUUUCUCAGGUUCUUACCACUCUGAGAUCUCCAUGCCCUGAACUCUGUCAGCCAGGCAGGCUGAAGAGAAACGAUUAAGCCUUUCAUGGGAGGUCCAAACAAGCUCUUUGAAUAUGUUUAAAAGAAAAAUUCUAAGAGAUGAGGAAGCCUCAUGAUGUGUAUAUGUCCACAUUUCUGCUUUCUUGUUCUUUCACUAAAUAACAGCUGGUCUCACACAGUUAGAGCUUGAGAGUCCAUGCAGUACAGUACGGCAGCCUUCCUGUCUGAUGUCUCCACAGCCAUCAAUAUGUUUCUCAUGUAUUUGUGGAAAAAUAUGCGAACCAUCUUGCC
rnacentral:lncRNA from 1 species